rnacentral:ribozyme from 2 species
UCUGUAAUGCCACCGUUGGCGAUCUUAAGUCCGCAUGAAAAGGCAGAGAGAAGA